GAUGAACGCUGGCGGUCUGCUUAACACAUGCAAGUCGAACGGGUACUUCGGUACUAGUGGCGGACGGGUGAGUAACGCGUGAGAAUCUAGCUUCAGAAUGGGGACAACAGAGGGAAACCGCUGCUAAUACCCGAUGUGCCGAAAGGUGAAAGAUUUAUCGUCUGAAGAUGAGCUCGCGUCCGAUUAGCUAGUUGGUAGGGUAAAAGCCUACCAAGGCGACGAUCGGUAGCUGGUCUGAGAGGAUGACCAGCCACACUGGGACUGAGACACGGCCCAGACUCCUACGGGAGGCAGCAGUGGGGAAUUUUCCGCAAUGGGCGAAAGCCUGACGGAGCAAGACCGCGUGAGGGAGGAAGGCUCUUGGGUUGUAAACCUCUUUUCUCUGGGAAGAAGCUCUGACGGUACCAGAGGAAUCAGCAUCGGCUAACUCCGUGCCAGCAGCCGCGGUAAUACGGAGGAUGCAAGCGUUAUCCGGAAUUAUUGGGCGUAAAGCGUCCGUAGGUGGCAAUUCAAGUCUGCCGUUAAAACCAGUGGCUUAACUACUGAGGGGCGGUGGAAACUGAAUAGCUAGAGUGUGGUAGGGGUAGAGGGAAUUCCCAGUGUAGCGGUGAAAUGCGUAGAGAUUGGGAAGAACACCGGUGGCGAAAGCGCUCUGCUGGACCACAACUGACACUCACAGGACGAAAGCUAGGGGAGCGAAAGGGAUUAGAUACCCCUGUAGUCCUAGCCGUAAAC
rnacentral:rRNA from 1 species